GACGAACGCUGGCGGCGUGCUUAACACAUGCAAGUCGAACGGAAAGGCCCUGCUUUUGUGGGGUGCUCGAGUGGCGAACGGGUGAGUAACACGUGAGUAACCUGCCCUUGACUUUGGGAUAACUUCAGGAAACUGGGGCUAAUACCGGAUAGGAGCUCCUGCUGCAUGGUGGGGGUUGGAAAGUUUCGGCGGUUGGGGAUGGACUCGCGGCUUAUCAGCUUGUUGGUGGGGUAGUGGCUUACCAAGGCUUUGACGGGUAGCCGGCCUGAGAGGGUGACCGGCCACAUGGGGACUGAGAUACGGCCCAGACUCCUACGGGAGGCAGCAGUGGGGAAUAUUGCACAAUGGGAGGAAGCCUGAUGCAGCAACGCCGCGUGCGGGAUGACGGCCUUCGGGUUGUAAACCGCUUUCGCCUGUGACGAAGCGUGAGUGACGGUAAUGGGUAAAGAAGCACCGGCUAACUACGUG
rnacentral:rRNA from 1 species